GAUGAACGCUGGCGGCGUGCCUAAUACAUGCAAGUCGAGCGAACAGACGAGGAGCUUGCUCCUUCGACGUUAGCGGCGGACGGGUGAGUAACACGUAGGUAACCUACCUAUAAUACUGGGAUAACUUCGGGAAACCGGAGCUAAUACCGGAUAAUAUUUCGAACCGCAUGGUUCGAUAGUGAAAGAUGGCUUUGCUAUCACUUAUAGAUGGACCUGCGCCGUAUUAGCUAGUUGGUAAGGUAACGGCUUACCAAGGCAACGAUACGUAGCCGACCUGAGAGGGUGAUCGGCCACACUGGAACUGAGACACGGUCCAGACUCCUACGGGAGGCAGCAGUAGGGAAUCUUCCGCAAUGGGCGAAAGCCUGACGGAGCAACGCCGCGUGAGUGAUGAAGGUCUUCGGAUCGUAAAACUCUGUUAUUAGGGAAGAACAAACGUGUAAGUAACUGUGCACGUCUUGACGGUACCUAAUCAGAAAGCCACGGCUAACUACGUG
rnacentral:rRNA from 1 species